rnacentral:rRNA from 1 species
AGAGUUUGAUCCUGGCUCAGGAUGAACGCUGGCGGCGUGCCUAAUACAUGCAAGUCGAACGAGGUGCUUUUGUAGCAAUACGAGAGUAUCCUAGUGGCGAACGGGUGAGUAACGCGUUGGUGACCUACCCCAAAGUGUGGGAUAACAGUCCGAAAGGAUUGCUAAUACCGCAUGUGGUUAUCGGCUUUAGAAACUGAUAACUAAAGGAGCAAUUCGCUUUGGGAGGGACCUGCGUCCCAUCAGCUAGUUGGUGAGGUAAUGGCUCACCAAGGCUACGACGGGUAGGGGACCUGAGAGGGUGACCCCCCACAAUGGAACUGAAACACGGUCCAUACACCUACGGGUGGCAGCAGUAGGGAAUAUUGCACAAUGGGCGAAAGCCUGAUGCAGCAACGCCGCGUGCACGAUGAAGGCCUUCGGGUCGUAAAGUGCUUUUCUGGGAGAUGAGAAAGGACAGUAUCCCAGGAAUAAGUCUCGGCUAACUACGUGCCAGCAGCAGCGGCGGUAAUAC